UACGUAGGGGACGAGCGUUGUCCGGAAUUAUUGGGCGUAAAGAGCGUGUAGGCGGCUUUUCAAGUCCUGCGUGAAAUCUCGAGGCUCAACCUCGAGCGGUCGUGGGAAACUGGAGGGCUAGAGUGCGGGAGAGGGAAGUGGAAUUCCAGGUGUAGCGGUGAAAUGCGCAGAUAUCUGGAAGAACACCCGUGGCGAAGGCGGCUUCCUGGAACGACACUGACGCUGAGACGCGAAAGCGUGGGGAGCAAACAGG
rnacentral:rRNA from 1 species